UAUCGGCUCGGCCAGUCUGCUGCAGGCUUCGUCUCCUCCUCCUCUGUCCUAAGUCCUUGGGCGCUCUGCUUCGUCCUUCGGUCUCCGCGAGAGGUUAGGUUCGUACUCCAGCAGCUAAUUGGCCGGCGGCUGCGGCCUGGUCCUCCUCCUGCUCCUCCUCCUCGUUCCCUUCCUCCGAAGAGAGCCUCUAUAGUAGUUGGAGUUCAACCACCUCUCGCCGCUCUUCCUCUCCGACUACCUCGAAGAGGCCCUCGCCGAGCAGCUCACGCCGACCUCCCUACUGUACUUCCGAGAGACGUCCCGAAUACGUUCCUUUUUCCCUUCUUUAUUACAUUGUAAUCUACUAGAAUAAGUACAAUAAUGAGGUUUUCCUUCUCCAGUCACUAAAAGUAAACAGGUCAAUUAAAUAAAGACCAACGUUCUCCAUACAAUGAAUCAAGGUCACGUGUAAUCUAUGCUCAACCUUCCUAACAAUACUUUAUUAUAUUGGUACCGAACAUAUACAGGUAGAAAGGUAUUCACAGUUCGUUCCCUUUUUCGUCACGGAUUUGAGGUUUCAACUAACGAAGGAAUGACAUUGUCCUAGACCCUGUUUUAAAACCUCUUACAAGAAAAAAGCGUGGACGAAGAGCGGAGGAUACAAACGGUAUCUAAACACGUGAAAAACAGUUAUUGUCGGGAUUCGUUUACAAAGAAAGUAAACCCAACCAAGAACAACGUGCUAAUAGUAAAACAGGACGAAGACUUUGUCGGAGCCACGGGCUACGCCACUUCCGUCUCGACGACGUUGCGUAGGCUAGGAAAGAGUACAGAAGGAGCGAAACCAUCGGGUACUUAGUGCGGCUAGCCUUCCGCGCACAUCCUUCGAACUUCGUAGCUAGAACUUGCACAUUGUGAAGUCUCUUCGUCGUUUAUAGCUGUAUUUUGCCUAGACCACGACACCUGCACAAAGGACCAGUCCGUACACCAACCGGGACAAGAGACUGACAUGGUAGUGGUGUGACAUAAACAUCGCGAUGUAACGCGCCAGCGAAGCUACGGUGAACCAUUAGAAUUAAUCUCUUGAGUCUUAGUUACGCAGACCACCAUGAUGAGCGCACAGAGUACAGUUUGGACUAACUCACUAGGAGUACUCCCUGGUUGUUCUUGUCUGCGGUGAAAACAGUAACACAACACUUCCGGAAUAGACUAUGAUCAUAAAAGACACACGACGAAAUAACUAACAAUGUACAUACACGGCGGUUUUAACUAAAACAAACGGCUGCUAUUCAAACA
rnacentral:rRNA from 1 species